rnacentral:lncRNA from 1 species
CCUGUUCUACCCAGAAGAGUGGCUCAAGUUCACAUUCAUAAUUUAUUUGUUGAAAGAGUAUCUCCACUUUAUCACAAUCGAGCACUUCCAAUUCUUUCAGAAGUGGCCAGCUUGAACUAAACCUUCUAGAGAAAAAUCUUUUGAGUUGGUGUAAACCGGAGAGUGUAAGAGAGGUAAGGUUAGGGAAUAAGAGUAAAAGUGCUGCUUCAUCUUCAUUUUCAUUGGCAACAAUUGCCUCCACUCCACUUUCCGAUAUAUAUAGGUCCUCAAGUUGCACAAGAGCACUCGCCACAGAAACCGGAAAAAGGUUUAGCAAUUUGUUGCAUCCCCUUACUUGCAAUUUCCUUAAUUUGGAAAAUGAAUUUGCUGGAAGUUGGUCAGACCACAAUGCUCUUAUAUUAUCUAGUCCGCGUACAGACAAGGACUCCAAACCUGGGAGUGCAACCUGUGCAAUUGAUGAUCCCUUUAGUUAAUAAUAUAUACAUAUACAUUCCUAAUAAUUAGACACAUGUAAAUAGAAAAUAAGAGGUUAAAGGAGAAUAUAUCAGUAUAACAAAGCACAAAAUUUAAACUAGAUUCAAGAAGAUCAAGAAAGAGAAAAGAAAAGAAAAAGCCUCCAGAUUUUGAAGAUACAAUGAAACUUAACAAAAAAAAAAAAAAACCACCAAAUUUUCCUUUCGAAAUGAGGUAAUAAGAGGAUUUUUUUUUUUUCUUUUUUCUUUGCCUCUCUUUCAAAUUUGAUUAACUUCUAUGGAAAACGUAUUUUAACUAGUUAUGGAAAACAUAUUUUUUUUUUAAAAAACUUUUCUAUAAGAUACAAGUAAUACUUUAAAAAAAUUGUGAUAUCUAAAAAAUUUUUUGAAAAAUUAUUUUUAAAGAAAUAAGGUAAAUCUAUACUUUUUGUAUAAGAUGUUCUACCUUUAUAUACAAAUUUCUGAUUUUUUUUUUAAAAGUGUAUCCAAAUGGACACUAAACUAUCUAGUUUUUAAUUGUUACAACUUUGAAUUGGAUUUUAUGGUAAACUAAUUUACAAGUUAAUGCAUGGAUUCAUCUUAGAUUCCAUCUAUAAAUUUUUUUAAUUAUCUAAUAUAAGACAUUAUAUUAAUGGGUUGAAUUAAUAAUGUAAUUAUAAUUUAUUUGGCAAGUUUCUUCCUUCAAAUAUAUAAAAUGAAAAUAAAUUUUAAAAAAUAAAAAAAAUGAAAAAAAUAAAAAAUAAAAAAAGAUUUUUUUUAUAGUUUUUCUAAGAUGAUUUUGUAGAGUACUGUUAGUUUAUAGUUUUAACUUUAUUUCAUUUUACUUUUAACUUUAUUUAUUGAGGUAUGUUCUUUUUUGAAACUCUUGUUUAGAUUUUAUAGAGGAUAUAAAUUUUCAGAAAAAAAAAAUUAAAUUUAAAUAAAAUAGGAAUAAAGAAAGGCAAAAGGUGGAUGAAUUUUUUUAAGGCAAAAGUUUGAUAACUUGGCACUAUCAUGUAAUGGGUGAAAUUUUUAAAUACUCAACAAAGGCUAGUGAAAUUUAAAUUAAAAGCUUGACAUGUACCUUUUCGACCAAAAUCUUUGGAGUUGGUGUAAAGUUUUGAGUAUGAGAGAGGUUAGUCUAGGGAAUAUUAUUGCACAUUAGUUCAAAUAAAACAUCAACAUUUUUUUUUUUGUUAAAUUCUAAAUGAACACCACUAUAAAUUAAUGCGAUUUGUAUGCUCAAUUAAAUAAACUCGUUCUUAAGGCAUCACAUGAAGUGUUUAAGUCUAAUUAAUAUUAAUUAAAAAUGAUUAUUUUAAAAAAAUCCAAAGUAAUUUAUUUUUAUCAUAAGUCAAGUAGGAUAGUUUUAUAAAUAAUUGGUUCUAGUUUCUAGUAUUAUUGUACACAAUCGCUAUGUUUGUUGCACCUCCAAAAAAUCUACUACUUGUAAUUAAUUGUAUAUUAUUCUCCAUAUUCACAUCAGUUUAUGUAGUAUGAUUAAUUUAGCAACAAAAUAUAAGUUUACUUGAAAUCGCUUUAAAUUCCUAUGAUAUUAAAGUUUAAGAUUAAAACAAUGUAACAUUAGCCAAAAAGACUAAGAUCUAUAAUGUAACAUAUAAAAUUUAGAAAAUUCAAGGAAGGGUAAACUCGCACCUGUUCUACCCAGAAGAGUGGCUCAAGUUCACAUUCAGAAUUUAUUUGUUGAAAGAGUAUCUCCACUUUAUCACAAUCGAGCACUUCCAAUUCUUUCAGAAGUGGCCAGCUUGAACUAAACCUUCUAGAGCAAAAUCUUUUGAGUUGGUGUAAACCGGAGAGUGUGAGAGAGGUAAGGUUAGGGAAUGAGAGUAAAGGUGCUGCUUCAUCUUCAUUUUCAUUGGCAACAAUUGCCUCCACUCCACUCUCCGAUAUAUAAAGGUCCUCAAGUUGCACAAGAGCACUCGCCACAGAAACCGGAAAAAGGUUUAGCAAUUUGUUGCAUCCCCUUACUUGCAAUUUCCUUAAUUUGGAAAAUGAAUUUGCUGGAAGUUGGUCAGGCCACAAUGCUCUUAUAUUAUCUAGUCCGCGUACAGACAAGGACUCCAAACCUGGGAGUGCAACCUGUGCAAUUGAUGAUCCCUUUAGUUAAUAAUAUAUACAUAUACAUUCCUAAUAAUUAGACACAUGUAAAUAGAAAAUAAGAGGUUAAAGGAGAAUAUAUCAGUAUAACAAAGCACAAAAUUUAAACUCUAUUCAAGAAGAUCCAGAAAGAGAAAAGAAAACGCCUUUUGAUUUUGAAGAUCCAAUGAAACUUUAAAAAAAAAAAAAAAAACCUCCAAAUUUUGCUUUCCAAAUGAGGUAAUAGGAGGAUAUUUUUAUUUUAUUUUUUCUUUGCCUCUCUUUCAAAUUUGAUUAACUUCCAUGGAAAACGUAUUUUAACUAGCCAUGGAAAAUGGAUUUUUUUUUUAAAACUUUUAUAUAAGAUACAAGAACUCUUAGAGGGUUACAUUAUGUAAGUAAUACUUUAAAAAAAAUGUUUAAAAAUAUUGUGAUAUCCAAAAAUUUUACUACCUCGGAUUUUAAAUUUUAAAAAAAUUAUUUUUAAAGAAAUAAGGUAAAUCUAUACUUUUUCGUAUAAGAUAUUCUACCUUUAUAUACAAAUUUCUGAUUUUUUUUUUAAAGUGUAUCCAAAUGGACACUAAACUAUCUAGUUUCGAAUUUUUACAACUUUGAAUUGGAUUUUAUGGUAAACUAAUUGACAAUAUAACGCAUGGAUUCAUCUUAGAUUCCAUCUAUAAAUUUUUUAAUUAUCUAAUAUAAGACAUUAUAUUAAUGGGUUGAAUUAAUAAUGUAAUUAUAAUUUAUUUGGCAACUUUCUUCCUUCAAAUAUAUAAGACGAAAAUAUAUUUUAAAAAAUAAAAAAGAAUGAUAAAAAAUAGAAAAUAAAAAUAGCUUAUUUUAUUGUUUUUCUAAGAUGAUUUUGUAGAGUGUUAGUUUAUAGUUUAACUUUAUUUCAUUUUACUUUUAACAUUAUUUAUUGAGGUAUGUUCUUUUUUGAAACUCUUGUUUAGAUUUUAUAGAGAAUAUAAAUUUUAAGAAAAAAAAUGAAAUUUAAAUAAAAUAAGAAUAAAGAAAGGCAAAAGGUGGAUGAAUUUUUUGAAGGCAAAAGUUUGAUAAUUUGGCACUGUCAUGUAAUGGGUGAAAUUUUUAAAUACUCAACAAAGGCUAGUGAAAUUUAAAUUAAAACCUUGACAUGUACCUUUUCGACCAAAAUCUUUGGAGUUGGUGUAAAGUUUUGAGUAUGAGAGAGGUUAGUCUAGGGAAUAUUAUUGCACAUUAGUUCAAAUAAAACAUCAACAUUUUUUUUUGUUAAAUUCUAAAUGAACACCACUAUAAAUUAAUGCGAUUUUGUAUGCUCAAUUAAAUAAACUCGUUCUUAAGGCAUCACAUGAAGUGUUUAAGUCUAAUUAAUAUUAAUUAAAAAUGAUUAUAUCAAAAAAAAUCCAAAGUAAUUUUUUUUUAUCAUAAGUCAAGUAGGAUAGUUUUAUAAAUAAUUGGUUCUAGUUUCUAGUAUUAUUGUACACAAUCGCUAUGUUUGUUGCACCUCCAAAAAAUCUACUACUUGUAAUUAAUUGUAUAUUAUUCUCCAUAUUCACAUCAGUUUAUGUAGUAUGAUUAAUUUAGCAACAAAAUAUAAGUUUACUUGAAAUCGCUUUAAAUUCCUAUGAUAUUAAAGUUUAAGAUUAAAACAAUGUAACAUUAGCCAAAAAGACUAAGAUCUAUAAUGUAACAAAUAAAAUUUAGAAAAUUCAAGGCAGGGUAAACUCGCACCUGUUCUACCCAGAAGAGUGGCUCAAGUUCACAUUCAGAAUUUAUUUGUUGAAAGAGUAUCUCCACUUUAUCACAAUCGAGCACUUCCAAUUCUUUCAGAAGUAGCCAGCUUGAACUAAACCUUCUAGAGCAAAAUCUUUUGAGUUGGUGUAAACCGGAGAGUGUGAGAGAGGUAAGGUUAGGGAAUAAGAGUAAAGGUGCUGCUUCAUCUUCAUUUUCAUUGGCAACAAUUGCCUCCACUCCACUCUCCGAUAUAUAUAGGUCCUCAAGUUGCACAAGAGCACUCGCCACAGAAACCCGAAAAAGGUUUAGCAAUUUGUUGAAUCCCCUUACAUGCAAUUUCCUUAAUUUGGAAAAUGAAUUUGUUGGAAGUUGGUCAGGCCACAAUGCUCUUAUAUUAUCCAGUCCGCAUACAUACAAGGACUCCAAGCCUUGGAGUGCAACCUGUGCAAUUGAUAAUCCCUUUGGUUAAUAAUAUAUACAUAUACAUUCCUAAUGAUUAGACACAUGUAAAUAGAAAAUAAGAGGUUAAAGGAGAAUAUAUCAGUAUAACAAAGCACAAAAUUUAAACUAGAUUAAAGAAGAUCAAGAAAGAGAAAAGAAAAGAAAAAGCCUCCAGAUUUUGAAGAUACAAUGAAACUUAAAAAAAAAAAAAAAAAACCUCCAAAUUUUCCUUUCGAAAUGAGGUAAUAAGAGGAUUUUUUUUUUCUUUUUUCUUUGCCUCUCUUUCAAAUUUGAUUAACUUCUAUGGAAAACGUAUUUUAACUAGUUAUGGAAAACGGAUUUUUUUUUUUAAAAACUUUUAUAUAAGAUACAAGUAAUACUUUAAAAAAAUUGUGAUAUCUAAAAAAUUUUUUGAAAAAUUAUUUUUAAAGAAAUAAGGUAAAUCUAUACUUUUUGUAUAAGAUGUUCUACCUUUGUAUUCAAAUUUCUGAUUUUUUUUUUUUAAAGUGUAUCCAAAUGCACACUAAACUAUCUAGUUUUUAAUUGUUACAACUUUGAAUUGGAUUUUAUGGUAAACUAAUUUACAAGUUAAUGCAUAGAUUCAUCUUAGAUUCCAUCUAUAAAUUUUUUUAAUUAUCUAAUAUAAGACAGUAUAUUAAUGGGUUGAAUUAAUAAUGUAAUUAUAAUUUAUUUGGCAACUUUCUUCCUUCAAAUAUAUAAAAUGAAAAUAAAUUUUAAAAAAUAAAAAAUAAAAAAAAGAUUUUUUUUAUAGUUUUUCUAAGAUGAUUUUGUAGAGUUCUGUUAGUUUAUAGUUUUCACUUUAUUUAUUGAGGUAUGUUCUUUUUUGAAACUCUUGUUUAGAUUUUAUUGAGAAUAUAAAUUUUAAGAAAAAAAAUAAAAUUUAAAUAAAAUAAGAAUAAAGAAAGGCAAAAGCUGGAUGAAUUUUUUUAAGGCAAAAGUUUGAUAAUUUGGCACUCUCAUGUAAUGGGUGAAAUUUUUAAAUACUCAACAAAGGCUAGUGAAAUUUAAAUUAAAACCAUGACAUGUACCUUUUAGACCAAAAUCUUUGGAGUUGGUGUAAUGUUUUGAGUAUGAGAGAGGUUAGUCUAGGGAAUAUUAUUGCACAUUAGUUCAAAUAAAACAUCAACAUUUUUUUUUGUUAAAUUCUAAAUGAACACCACUAUAAAUUAAUGCGAUUUUGUAUGCUCAAUUAAAUAAACUCGUUCUUAAGGCAUCACAUGAAGUGUUUAAGUCUAAUUAAUAUUAAUUAAAAAUGAUUAUAGUAAAAAAAAUCCAAAGUAAUUUUUUUUUAUCAUAAGUCAAGUAGGAUAGUUUUAUAAAUAAUUGGUUCUAGUUUCUAGUAUUAUUGUAGACAAUCGCUAUGUUUGUUGCACCUCCAAAAAAUCUACUACUUGUAAUUAAUUGUAUAUUAUUCUCCAUAUUCACAUCAGUUUAUGUAGUAUGAUUAAUUUAGCAACAAAAUAUAAGUUUACUUGAAAUGGCUUUAAAUUCCUAUGAUAUUAAAGUUUAAGAUUAAAACAAUGUAACAUUAGCAAAAAAGAUUAAGAUCUAUAAUGUAACAAAUAAAAUUUAGAAAAUUCAAGGCAGGGUAAACUCGCACCUGUUCUACCCAGAAGAGUGGCUCAAGUUCACAUUCAGAAUUUAUUUGUUGAAAGAGUAUCUCCACUUUAUCACAAUCGAGCACUUCCAAUUCUUUCAGAAGUAGCCAGCUUGAACUAAACCUUCUAGAGCAAAAUCUUUUGAGUUGGUGUAAACCGGAGAGUGUGAGAGAGGUAAGGUUAGGGAAUAAGAGUAAAGGUGCUGCUUCAUCUUCAUUUUCAUUGGCAACAAUUGCCUCCACUCCACUCUCUGAUAUAUAUAGGUCCUCAAGUUGCACAAGAGCACUCGCCACAGAAACCCGAAAAAGGUUUAGCAAUUUGUUGAAUCCCCUUACAUGCAAUUUCCUUAAUUUGGAAAAUGAAUUUGUUGGAAGUUGGUCAGGCCACAAUGCUCUUAUAUUAUCCAGUCCGCAUACAUACAAGGACUCCAAGCCUGGGAGUGCAACCUGUGCAAUUGAUAAUCCCUUUGGUUAAUAAUAUAUACAUAUACAUUCCUAAUAAUUAGACACAUGUAAAUAGAAAAUAAGAGGUUAAAGGAGAAUAUAUCAGUAUAACAAAGCACAAAAUUUAAACUAGAUUAAAGAAGAUCAAGAAAGAGAAAAGAAAAGAAAAAGCCUCCAGAUUUUGAAGAUACAAUGAAACUUAAAAAAAAAAAAAAAAAACCUCCAAAUUUUCCUUUCGAAAUGAGGUAAUAAGAGGAUUUUUUUUUUAUUUUUUCUUUGCCUCUCUUUCAAAUUUGAUUAACUUCUAUGGAAAACGCAUUUUAACUAGUUAUGGAAAACGGAUUUUUUUUUUUUAAAACUUUUAUAUAAGAUACAAGUAAUACUUUAAAAAAAUUGUGAUAUCUAAAAAAUUUUUUGAAAAAUUAUUUUUAAAGAAAUAAGGUAAAUCUAUACUUUUUGUAUAAGAUGUUCUACCUUUGUAUUCAAAUUUCUGAUUUUUUUUUUUAAAGUGUAUCCAAAUGCACAAUAAACUACCUAGUUUUUAAUUGUUACAACUUUGAAUUGGAUUUUAUGGUAAACUAAUUUACAAGUUAAUGCAUGGAUUCAUCUUAGAUUCCAUCUAUAAAUUUUUUUAAUUAUCUAAUAUAAGACAUUAUAUUAAUGGGUUGAAUUAAUAAUGUAAUUAUAAUUUAUUUGGCAACUUUCUUCCUUCAAAUAUAUAAAAUGAAAAUAAAUUUUAAAAAAUAAAAAAAAUGAAAAAAUAAAAAAUAAAAAAAAGAUUUUUUUUAUAGUUUUUCUAAGAUGAUUUUGUAGAGUACUGUUAGUUUAUAGUUUUCACUUUAUUUAUUGAGGUAUGUUCUUUUUUGAAACUCUUGUUUAGAUUUUAUUGAGAAUAUAAAUUUUAAGAAAAAAAAUGAAAUUUAAAUAAAAUAAGAAUAAAGAAAGGCAAAAGGUGGAUGAAUUUUUUUACGGCAAAAGUUUGAUAAUUUGGCACUAUCAUGUAAUGGGUGAAAUUUUUAAAUACUCAACAAAGGCUAGUGAAAUUUAAAUUAAAACCUUGACAUGUACCUUUUAGACCAAAAUCUUUGGAGUUGGUGUAAAGUUUUGAGUAUGAGAGAGGUUAGUCUAGGGAAUAUUAUUGCACAUUAGUUCAAAUAAAACAUCAACAUUUUUUUUUGUUAAAUUCUAAAUGAACACCACUAUAAAUUAAUGCGAUUUUGUAUGCUCAAUUAAAUAAACUCGUUCUUAAGGCAUCACAUGAAGUAUUUAAGUCUAAUUAAUAUUAAUUAAAAAUGAUUAUAGUAAAAAAAAUCCAAAGUAAUUUUUUUUUAUCAUAAGUCAAGUAGGAUAGUUUUAUAAAUAAUUGGUUCUAGUUUCUAGUAUUAUUGUAGACAAUCGCUAUGUUUGUUGCACCUCCAAAAAAUCUACUACUUGUAAUUAAUUGUAUAUUAUUCUCCAUAUUCACAUCAGUUUAUGUAGUAUGAUUAAUUUAGCAACAAAAUAUAAGUUUACUUGAAAUGGCUUUAAAUUCCUAUGAUAUUAAAGUUUAAGAUUAAAACAAUGUAACAUUAGCCAAAAAGAUUAAGAUCUAUAAUGUAACAUAUAAAAUUUAGAAAAUUCAAGGAAGGGUAAACUCGCACCUGUUCUACCCAGAAGAGUGGCUCAAGUUCACAUUCAGAAUUUAUUUGUUGAAAGAGUAUCUCCACUUUAUCACAAUAGAGCACUUCCAAUUCUUUCAGAAGUGGCCAGCUUGAACUAAACCUUCUAGAGCAAAAUCUUUUGAGUUGGUGUAAACCGGAGAGUGUGAGAGAGGUAAGGUUAGGGAAUAAGAGUAAAGGUGCUGCCUCAUCUUCAUUUUCAUUGGCAACAAUUGCCUCCACUCCACUCUGAAAUAUAUUUAGGUUCUCAAGUUGCACAAGAGCACUCGCCACAGAAACCGGAAAAAGGUUUAGCAAUUUGUUGCAUCCCCUUACUUGCAAUUCCCUUAAUUUGGAAAAUGAAUUUGCUGGAAGUUGGUCAGGCCACAAUGCUCUUAUAUUAUCUAGUCCGCAUACAGAAAAGGACUCCAAGCCUGGGAGUGCAACCUGUGCAAUUGAUGAUCCCUUUAGUUAAUAAUAUAUACAUAUACAUUCCUAAUAAUUAGCACAUGUAAAUAGAAAAUAAGAGGUUAAAGGAGAAUAUAUCAGUAUAACAAAGCACAAAAUUUAAACUAGAUUCAAGAAGAUCAAGAAAGAGAAAAGAAAAGAAAAAGCCUCCAGAUUUUAAAGAUACAAUGAAACUUAAAAAAAAAAAAAAAAAACCUCCAAAUUUUCCUUUCGAAAUGAGGUAAUAAGAGGAUUUUUUUUUUUUUCUUUUUUCUUUGCCUCUCUUUCAAAUUUGAUUAACUUCUAUGGAAAACGUAUUUUAACUAGUUAUGGAAAACGGAUUUUUUUUUUAAACUUUUAUAUAAGAUACAAGUAAUACUUUUAAAAAAUUGUGAUAUCUAAAAAAGUUUUUGAAAAAUUAUUUUUAAAGAAAUAAGGUAAAUCUAUACUUUUUGUAUAAGAUCUUCUACCUUUAUAUACAAAUUUCUGAUUUUUUUUUUUAAAGUGUAUCCAAAUGGACACUAAACUAUCUAGUUUUUAAUUGUUACAACUUUGAAUUGGAUUUUAUGGUAAACUAAUUUACAAGUUAAUGCAUGGAUUCAUCUUAGAUUCCAUCUAUAAAUUUUUUUAAUUAUCUAAUAUAAGACAUUAUAUUAAUGGGUUGAAUUAAUAAUGUAAUUAUAAUUUAUUUGGCAACUUUCUUCCUUCAAAUAUAUAAAAUGAAAAUAAAUUUUAAAAAAUAAAAAAGAAUGAAAAAAAUAAAAAAUAAAAAAAGCUUUUUUUUAUAGUUUUUCUAAGAUGAUUUUGUAGAGUACUGUUAGUUUAUAGUUUUAACUUUAUUUCAUUUUACUUUUAACUUUAUUUAUUGAGGUAUGUUCUUUUUUGAAACUCUUGUUUAGAUUUUAUAGAGAAUAUAAAUUUUAAGAAAAAAAAAGGAAAUUUAAAUAAAAUAAGAAUAAAGAAAGGCAAAAGGUGGAUGAAUUUUUUUAAGGCAAAAGUUUGAUAAUUUGGCACUAUCAUGUAAUGGGUGAAAUUUUUAAAUACUCAACAAAGGCUAGUGAAAUUUAAAUUAAAAGCUUGACAUGUACCUUUUCGACCAAAAUCUUUGGAGUUGGUGUAAAGUUUUGAGUAUGAGAGAGGUUAGUCUAGGGAAUAUUAUUGCACAUUUGUUCAAAUAAAACAUCAACAUUUUUUUUUGUUAAAUUCUAAAUGAACACCACUAUAAAUUAAUGCGAUUUUGUAUGCUCAAUUAAAUAAACUCAUUCUUAAGGCAUCACAUGAAGUGUUUAAGUCUAAUUAAUAUUAAUUAAAAAUGAUUAUAUUAAAAAAAAUCCAAAGUAAUUUAUUUUUAUCAUAAGUCAAGUAGGAUAGUUUUAUAAAUAAUUGGUUCUAGUUUCUAGUAUUAUUGUACACAAUCGCUAUGUUUGUUGCACCUCCAAAAAUCUACUACUUGUAAUUAAUUGUAUAUUAUUCUCCAUAUUCACAUCAGUUUAUGUAGUAUGAUUAAUUUAGCAACAAAAUAUAAGUUUACUUGAAAUCGCUUUAAAUUCCUAUGAUAUUAAAGUUUAAGAUUAAAACAAUUUAACAUUAGCCAAAAAGAUUAAGAUCUAUAAUGUAACAUAUAAAAUUUAGAAAAUUCAAGGAAGGGUAAACUCGCACCUGUUCUACCCAGAAGAGUGGCUCAAGUUCACAUUCAGAAUUUAUUUGUUGAAAGAGUAUCUCCACUUUAUCACAAUCGAGCACUUCCAAUUCUUUCAGAAGUGGCCAACUUGAACUAAACUUUCUAGAGCAAAAUCUUUUGAGUUGGUGUAAACCGGAGAGUGUGAGAGAGGUAAGGUUAGGGAAUAAAAGUAAAAGUGCUGCUUCAUCUUCAUUUUCAUUGUGAACAAUUGCCUCCACUCCACUAUAAAAUAUAUUUAGGUUCUCAAGUUGCACAAGAGCACUCGCCACAGAAACCGGAAAAAGGUUUAGCAAUUUGUUGCAUCCCCUUACUUGCAAUUUCCUUAAUUUGGAAAAUGAAUUUGCUGGAAGUUGGUCAGGCCACAAUGCUCUUAUAUUAUCUAGUCCGCAUACAGACACGGACUCCAAGCCUGGGAGUGCAACCUGUGCAAUUGAUGAUCCCUUUAGUUAAUAAUAUAUACAUAUACAUUCCUAAUAAUUAGACACAUGUAAAUAGAAAAU